AUUGAACGCUGGCGGCAUGCCUUACACAUGCAAGUCGAACGGCAGCACGGGUGCUUGCACCUGGUGGCGAGUGGCGAACGGGUGAGAAAUACAUCGGAACGUACCUUAUCGUGGGGGAUAACGCAGCGAAAGCUGUGCUAAUACCGCAUACGCCCUGAGGGGGAAAGCGGGGGAUCGAAAGACCUCGCGCGAUUAGAGCGGCCGAUGCCUGAUUAGCUUGUUGGUGGGGUAAAGGCCCACCAAGGCGACGAUCAGUAGCUGGUCUGAGAGGACGAUCAGCCAGACUGGGACUGAGACACGGCCCAGACUCCUACGGGAGGCAGCAGUGGGGAAUUUUGGACAAUGGGGGCAACCCUGAUCCAGCAAUGCCGCGUGAGUGAAGAAGGCCUUCGGGUUGUAAAGCUCUUUUGUCAGGGAAGAAACACCGGCUCUAACACAGUCCGGGAAUGACGGUACCUGAAGAAUAAGCACCGGCUAACUACGUGCCAGCCGCCGCCGUAA
rnacentral:rRNA from 1 species